UAUUAUACGAUAACUUCGCCAUGGGUGAUAGAAUUCCUCCAUUGUAGACUUCACUGGGCACUUAUAUUCUCCAUUUUAGAUAGAAAAGAGUUUGGUCUUUCUUCUGGGUUAGAUAGUCAAUUGCAGAUGGGUUCACAAGUAUCCCUUCCAGGAAAGAAGAAGCUUGCUCGCAAAAGAAUAACUAAAUUUUAGUACUGCCCGAACGACCCAAGCAAAGUCAUGGUAACUUCUGCUGACUCACAAGUUAGAGAACUUUGUAGAUCCAAUAUCAUCUGCAAAUUCAAAGAUUCGAUCUCAAAGUGCGAAGAUGCAUCUUACACAUAACCAGAGUAAAAGAUCAACUACAAUUAUCGGUACUUGAUAAUGCCUUCUUUCU